rnacentral:rRNA from 1 species
GAUGAACGCUGGCGGCGUGCCUAAUACAUGCAAGUCGAGCGAAUGGAUUAAGAGCUUGCUCUUAUGAAGUUAGCGGCGGACGGGUGAGUAACACGUGGGUAACCUGCCCAUAAGACUGGGAUAACUCCGGGAAACCGGGGCUAAUUCCGGAUAAUAUUUUGAACUGCAUGGUUCAAAAUUGAAAGGCGGCUUCGGCUGUCACUUAUGGAUGGACGCGCGUCGCAUUAGCUAGUUGGUGAGGUAACUGCUCACCAAGGCAACGAUGCGUAGCUGACCUGAGAGGGUGAUCGGCCACACUGGGACUGAGACACGGCCCAGACUCCUACGGGAGGCAGCAGUAGGGAAUCUUCCGCAAUGGACGAAAGUCUGACGGAGCAACGCCGCGUGAGUGAUGAAGGCUUUCGGGUCGUAAAACUCUGUUGUUAGGGAAGAACAAGUGCUAGUUUCAUAAGCUGGCACCUUGACGGUACCUAACCAGAAAGCCACGGCUAACUACGUGCCAGCCGCCGCAGUAA